GAUGAACGCUGGCGGCGUGCCUAAUACAUGCAAGUCGAGCGAACAUACGAGGAGCUUGCUCCUCUGACGUUAGCGGCGGACGGGUUAGUAACACGUUGAUAACCUACCUAUAAGACUGGGUUAACUUCGGGAAACCGGAGCUAAUACCGGAUAUUAUAUUGAACCGAAUGGUUCAAUAGUGUAAUUCGGUUUUGCUGUCACUUAUAGAUGUAUCCGCGCCGCAUUAUCUAUUUGGUAAGGUAACGGCAUACCACGGCAACGAUGCGUAUCCGACCUGAGAGGGUGGACGGGCAGACUGGAACUGAGAAAGAGUCGAGACACCGAAGGGGGGCAGCAGUAGGAAAUCUUACGGAAUGGGGGAAAGCGGAAUGGAGCAAAGCAGCGGGAAUGAUGAAGGAGUGAGGAUGGGAAAACGAAGAUAGUAGGGAAAAAGAAAAGUGUAAGUAAAUAUGAACGUAUUGACGGUACCAAAUAAGAAAGCCACGGCUAAAUACGUG
rnacentral:rRNA from 1 species